GCUGGGCGUGGUGGCACACGCCUGUAAUCCCAGCUACUUGGGAGGCUGAGACAGGAGAAUUGCUUGAACCUGGGAGACAGAGGUUGCAGUGAGCUGUGAUCGUGACACUGUACUCCAGCCUGGGUAACAGAGCAAAACUCUGUCUCAA
ensembl:misc_RNA Metazoa_SRP Metazoan signal recognition particle RNA